UAAGUUAGAAAGGGCGCACGGUGGAUGCCUUGACACUAGGAGUCGAUGAAGGACGGGACUAACGCCGAUAUGCUUCGGGGAGCUGUAAGUAAGCUUUGAUCCGAAGAUUUCCGAAUGGGGAAACCCACCAUACGUAAUGGUAUGGUAUCCUUAUCUGAAUACAUAGGGUAAGGAAGACAGACCCAGGGAACUGAAACAUCUAAGUACCUGGAGGAAGAGAAAGCAAAUGCGAUUUCCUGAGUAGCGGCGAGCGAAACGGAACAUAGCCCAAACCAAGAGGCUUGCCUCUUGGGGUUGUAGGACAUUCUAUACGGAGUUACAAAGGAAUGAGGUAGACGAAGCGACCUGGAAAGGUCCGUCGUAGAGGGUAACAACCCCGUAGUCGAAACUUCGUUCUCUCUUGAAUGUAUCCUGAGUACGGCGGAACACGUGAAAUUCCGUCGGAAUCUGGGAGGACCAUCUCCCAAGGCUAAAUACUCCCUAGUGAUCGAUAGUGAACCAGUACCGUGAGGGAAAGGUGAAAAGCACCCCGGAAGGGGAGUGAAAGAGAUCCUGAAACCGUGUGCCUACAAAUAGUCAGAGCCCGUUAAUGGGUGAUGGUGUGCCUUUUGUAGAAUGAACCGGCGAGUUACGAUCCCGUGCGAGGUUAAGCUGAAGAGGCGGAGCCGCAGCGAAAGCGAGUCUGAAUAGGGCGUUUAGUACGUGGUCGUAGACCCGAAACCAGGUGAUCUACCCAUGUCCAGGGUGAAGUUCAGGUAACACUGAAUGGAGGCCCGAACCCACGCACGUUGAAAAGUGCGGGGAUGAGGUGUGGGUAGCGGAGAAAUUCCAAUCGAACCUGGAGAUAGCUGGUUCUCCCCGAAAUAGCUUUAGGGCUAGCCUUAAGUGUAAGAGUCUUGGAGGUAGAGCACUGAUUGGACUAGGGGUCCUCAUCGGAUUACCGAAUUCAGUCAAACUCCGAAUGCCAAUGACUUAUCCUUAGGAGUCAGACUGCGAGUGAUAAGAUCCGUAGUCAAAAGGGAAACAGCCCAGACCGCCAGCUAAGGUCCCAAAGUGUGUAUUAAGUGGAAAAGGAUGUGGAGUUGCUUAGACAACUAGGAUGUUGGCUUAGAAGCAGCCACCAUUUAAAGAGUGCGUAAUAGCUCACUAGUCGAGUGACUCUGCGCCGAAAAUGUACCGGGGCUAAAUACAUCACCGAAGCUGCGGAUUGAUACCAAUGGUAUCAGUGGUAGGGGAGCGUUCUAAGGACAGUGAAGUCAGACCGGAAGGACUGGUGGAGUGCUUAGAAGUGAGAAUGCCGGUAUGAGUAGCGAAAGACGGGUGAGAAUCCCGUCCACCGAAUGCCUAAGGUUUCCUGAGGAAGGCUCGUCCGCUCAGGGUUAGUCAGGACCUAAGCCGAGGCCGACAGGCGUAGGCGAUGGACAACAGGUUGAUAUUCCUGUACCACCUCUUUAUCGUUUGAGCAAUGGAGGGCCGCAGAAGGAUAGAAGAAGCGUGCGAUUGGUUGUGCACGUCCAAGCAGUUAGGCUGAUAAGUAGGCAAAUCCGCUUAUCGUGAAGGCUGAGCUGUGAUGGGGAAGCUCCUUAUGGAGCGAAGUCUUUGAUUCCCCGCUGCCAAGAAAAGCUUCUAGCGAGAUAAAAGGUGCCUGUACCGCAAACCGACACAGGUAGGCGAGGAGAGAAUCCUAAGGUGUGCGAGAGAACUCUGGUUAAGGAACUCGGCAAAAUGACCCCGUAACUUCGGGAGAAGGGGUGCUUUCUUAACGGAAAGCCGCAGUGAAUAGGCCCAAGCGACUGUUUAGCAAAAACACAGCUCUCUGCGAAGCCGUAAGGCGAAGUAUAGGGGGUGACACCUGCCCGGUGCUGGAAGGUUAAGGAGAGGGUUAGCGUAAGCGAAGCUCUGAACUGAAGCCCCAGUAAACGGCGGCCGUAACUAUAACGGUCCUAAGGUAGCGAAAUUCCUUGUCGGGUAAGUUCCGACCCGCACGAAGGUGUAACGAUUUGGGCACUGUCUCAACCAGAGACUCGGUGAAAUUAUAGUACCUGUGAAGAUGCAGGUUACCCGCGACAGGACGGAAGACCCCGUGGAGCUUUACUGUAGCCUGAUAUU
rnacentral:rRNA from 1 species